UGGAGGGCCUGACCACUUCCCUGCGUGGCAGCUGCAACAAGGACCCCGGCUCUGACCCUGGCUCCAGCCCUGACUCCGACUCCGCCACCCCUGAUGAUACCAGCAACUCGUCCUCUGUGGAUUGGGACACUGUUGAGAGGCAGGAGGAGGCCCCCAGCUGGGACGACCUCGCAGUGAUGAUCCCUAGGAGACCUCAGGAGGGGUCGAGAGCUGACAGCUCCCAAAAGGCCCCAUCUCUCCUCACCAGGUCCCCUGUGGGAGGAGACACUGCAGGCCAGAAAAAGGAGGACACUGGCGGUGGGGGCCGGAGCGCAGGACAGCACUGGGCAAAGCUCCGGGGAGAAAGUGGGUUCUUCUCCCUGGAGCGGCACCGGUCAACACUGACCCAGGCUUCCUCCAUGACACCACACAGCGGACCUCGAAGCACCACGCCUUGGGCUUCCCCUGCCCAAAGGGACACUGCUCAGGCUGCCUCUACACGUGAAACCCCCCGAGCCUCCUCUCCCCACCGAAUCACCCAAAGGGACACCUCCAGGGCCUCAUCCACCCAACAGGACACCUCCAGGGCCUCAUUUACACAGCGGAACACCCCCAGAGCUUCCUCUCCCUCACGAAGCACCCAACAGGAUAACCCCAGAACCUCGUCCAACCAACAAAAUAAUCCUCAAUAUUCCUCUCCCCAAAGAGCCACCCAACAAGAUAACCCUAGAACCUCUUCUACCCAGCAGGACAACCCCCAAAGUUCUUUUCCUACUUGUACUCCCCAGUGGGACAACCCCAGGACACCCUGUGCCCGACGGGGUGAUCCUAGAGCCUCCUCUCCCAACAGAGCCACCCAACGAGACAACCCCAGAACAUCUUGUGCCCAGCGGGACGAUCCCAGAGCCUCCUCUCCCAAUAGAGCCACAAGAGACAACCCCAGAACAUCCUGUGCCCAGCGGGACAAUCCCAGAACCUUCUCUCAGAUCAAAGCUACCCAACAGGACAACUCCUGUGCCCAGCGGGACAAUCCCAGAGCCUCCUCUCCCAAUAGAGCCACCCAACAAGACAACCCCAGAACUUCCUAUGCCCAGCGGGACGAUCCCAGAGCCUCCUCUCCCAGUAGAGCUUCCCAACAGGACAACCCCAGAACUUCUAUUCAACAGAACAUCCCCAGAUCAUCUUCUACCCAACAAGACAACCCUAAAACCUCUUGUACCAAACGGGAUAACCUCAGACCCACUCGUACACAGCGGGACCGCACACAGUCCUUUUCCUUUCAACGAGACAACCCUGGAAUCUCUUCAUCUCAAUGCUGCACCCAAAAGGAGAAUCUGAGACCAUCAUCUCCCCACCGCUCCACUCAAUGGAACAAUCCCAGGAAUUCAUCUCCACAUCGUACUAACAAAGACAUCCCCUGGGCCUCCUUUCCCCUCCGGCCAACUCAGAGUGAUAGUCCCCGAACCUCUUCCCCAUCUCGCUCCAAGCAAAAUGAGGUUCCCUGGGCAUCCAUUGCCCUCCGGCCAACCCAAGGUGACAGGCCUCAGACAUCCUCUCCCAGCAGGCCUGCCCAGCAUGACCCACCCCAGUCCUCCCUUGGCCCCACCCAGUACAACUUGCCAUCCCGGGCCACCUCUUCCUCCCAUAACCCAGGCCACCAGAGCACCUCCCGGACUUCCUCACCUGUGUACCCUGCUGCCUGUGGGGUUCCCUUGACCUAUCCUGAGCCCUCCCAGCCUCCAUGUGCCGUGUGCAUUGGGCACCGGGAUGCCCCUCGAGCCUCUUCGCCCCCUCGCUAUUUGCAGCACGACCCCUUCCCCUUCUUCCCAGAGCCCCACGCCCCAGAGAGUGAAUCACCCCACCACGAGCCUCCCUAUAUACCACCUGCUGUGUGCAUUGGACACCGAGAUGCCCCCCAGGCGUCCUCACCCCCCCGCCACACCCAAUUUGACCCCUUCCCCUUUCUCCCAGACACAUCAGACGCCGAGCAUCGGUGUCAGUCCCCCCAACACGAGCCCCUACAGCUCCCCGCACCUGUAUGUAUUGGGUACCGAGACGCACCCCGGGCCUCCUCCCCACCACGCCAGGCCCCAGAGCCUUCCCUCUUAUUCCAGGACCUCCCCAGGGCCAGCACAGAGAGCCUUGUCCCUUCCAUGGACUCUCUGCACGAGCGCCCCCAAAUCCCCACCCCUGUGUGCAUUGGGCACCGGGAUGCACCCUCCUUCUCAUCCCCACCACGCCAGGCUCCUGAGCCAUCCCUCUUCUUCCAGGACCCCCCUGGAACUAGUAUGGAGAGCCUGGCCCCCUCCACUGACUCUCUGCAUGGCUCCCCAGUGCUGAUCCCCCAAGUAUGCAUCGGGCACCGGGAUGCACCCCGAGCCUCCUCCCCACCCCGCCACCCACCCAGUGACCUAGCGUUCCUGGCACCCUCACCUUCGCCGGGCAGCUCCGGGGGCUCCCGGGGCUCAGUGCCUCCCGGGGAGACCAGGCAUAACUUGGAGCGAGAGGAGUACACUGUGCUGGCUGACCUGCCCCCACCCAGGAGGCUGGCCCAGAGACAGCCAGGGACCCAGGCGCAGCGCAGCAGCGGGGGCCGCACCCGCAGCCCUGGCCGCGCGGAGGUGGAGCGCCUCUUUGGGCAAGAGCGCAGGUGAGCCCAGGGGUGGGGUCAGCCAAGUGGGCUGGGGAGGAGGCUCGGCAGCCUGACAGGUGGAAGUUUCUCAGGGUUAGGAUGCCAGGAGAGUGUUCAAAUCCCCCUGGCUUGCCAUUUACUGGCUGUGUGACCUUGGGCAAAUCACUCCAUUUCUCUGUUUCUGCAUAUUAGGAGUUUUCUGGUUUUGUGUGUGUAUGUGGUUAAGUGAUGUCAUGCACAGCCCAGUGGUUAACUGCAAAGACUGCAGUCAG